rnacentral:lncRNA from 7 species
CGUCAUACCACUUUGGCCCCUACAGUUAAUUUGUGUCUGCAUCCAACUAACUAGUUGGCAUUCUCUUACAUUGUGCCCCAACGAUGCAUCAGAGGAUUUUGGUUGCUCGUUGAGGGGAAAUCCUCGUUGGAAUGGAAGUGUGAUCAUAGGUUCAAUUCCAAUAGGUGCUCCUAGUUCGGUUGCUUCUUUAACUAAAUCCAUGCUAACAUUGAGUCAAGAUGACACCGAUAGUGCAUCUUCCUGCUCGCUGAAAUUCUUUGAUCUUCUCUGAUUUGGUCUCUCGGUUGGUGCUGCUACCAUAUUCUGUGAC